UACGUAGGGUCCAAGCGUUGUCCGGAUUUAUUGGGCGUAAAGAGCGUGUAGGCGGCCCGGUAAGUCCGCUGUGAAAGUCGGGGGCUCAACCCUCGAAUGCCGGUGGAUACUGUCGGGCUAGAGUGCGGAAGAGGCGAGUGGAAUUCCUGGUGUAGCGGUGAAAUGCGCAGAUAUCAGGAGGAACACCAAUUGCGAAGGCAGCUCGCUGGGACGUAACUGACGCUGAGACGCGAAAGCGUGGGGAGCAAACAGG
rnacentral:rRNA from 1 species